CUGCAAGCCUCCAGCGUGCUUGGGUCUGCAGUGAAACCCUGUGCAUUCCUACAGUGCUUGCCAGAACAGUUUUGAAACGGUUUGAGACCUUGCUCUGCUCCGUCUACAGAGCAAGCCAAUAGGAAUUUCAGACAAUU
rnacentral:snoRNA from 1 species